GGAGUUUGGACCGUGUCUCAGUUCCAAUGUGGGGGACCUUCCUCUCAGAACCCCUACUGAUCGUUGACUAGGUGGGCCGUUACCCCGCCUACUAGCUAAUCAGACGCGGGUCCAUCUUAUACCGAAAAACUUUUCGCACUGCAUCAUGCGAUGCUGUGCGCUUAUGCGGUAUUAGCAGUCGUUUCCAACUGUUAUCCCCCUGUACAAGGUAGGUUACCCACGCGUUACUCACCCGUCCGCCACUCAGUCAACAAAUCGUCACCCCGAAGGGAUCGUAAUAAGUUGCUUCGUUCGACUUGCAUGUGUUAAGCACGCCGCCAGCGUUCAUC
rnacentral:rRNA from 1 species